UGCCUUAUUAAUUCCUUAUGUUUUCAUUAUUUGUACAGACUGAACUUUUAACAAGUCAACACAAUCCACAUUUCGUUUCAAUUUCUAUCCCAUUUUAGAAUUGGCACAAUUUUUUAAAAACUUGAUUUAUUUUACAUAUUUUACCUUAUCUUAUAGCUCACAAAAACUGUUGUAAAAAAACAAAUGAAAUGAAAAUAAAGAUCUAACCCAACUUCAAAUAAUUUUAAUUAAAUUACUUAUUUAAUCAUUUUGUAUGGUUUAAAUUAAUUUUGUUGUUGUUGUUAUUUGACAUUACUGUGAUCUAAACCAAGAGUUACAUAAUGAAAAUAGUAUGCUUAAUGCUUACUGAUUAUUGAAUAAAGAUUAGAUUUGACCUAAGAAACAAACAAACAAACAAAAAUGCUAGAAACACUUUCAGUAUGCAUUUCAGGCCUUGCGUUUAGGAUGCUACACAGUUACGUCAUUGCGCGCGCCCAAAUUCAAAAGUAAUCAAAAGACCGCCAAUUUCGCCAAAUUACGCGCAUUCAGGAUAGAGACCAAUGGUCCACGGAUGUUCGCACUUGUCGACUGGAAACAAGAAUGGAAUGAAAAUUGGAGCAUUGUUCCAACAUCACACAUAAAAAACUUAGACAAUGAUGAUUUCUUGGAUGGACUGGAUGACAGAUCUGUCUAUUUAACUGAGUGGAGAGGUGGACUGAAGAAAAAACCUCAAAGCGGAUGGCAUUUGUAUGAGAAAAUGGUACAUAAAGUUGCAGGUAAUUUUUGAUUUAUUUUUAAUUAUAAUUCACACAUUGAUAUUGCACGGAGAAUACAUUUUAAAUGAUUGCUAAACUGCAUGAGCCAUUGAUUUACCAAACUACUGGUCAGGGUAACGUUAGCCCAGCUUACUAGCUCGGUAAGAAGAACAGAUCGGUUAGUUGAGCAGAAAUUAACCGUGUUUAACUAUUACGUUUUUUAAAUUUCUCUAUUACUGCAUAAUUGUGUGCGUUGUAUGUUCAUAUUUAACAGCUAACGUUAACUACGAGUAGAUUAUUAGACUGAAGUGCAUAAUUCUAUGAUCUUUAAAUGUUUAUGUGAGAAUAAUAUCUUUAAAAAGUAAUAUUUUAGCGGCCAGAUACAUGUAGUGGAGAAAUAAAAAUGCAUGACUGUUAACUACACUGUGUUUCACAGACAGGCCUCAGCCAGGAUUAGGCCUUAGUUUAAGUAGUUUUUAUGAACGUACACUAGUGGAAAAAAAGAAAAAAAAAAACAUUACUUGUGUGCAUCUUGAGACGGAACAAUGGCUUAGACAUGAUUUAAGAUAUAUGUCCAAGAAUUAAGUUGAAAAAUGUAUUUUAUGGUUGAGUAGUUAGAUAGGAGUGGAGUGAGUUCUGAUUUUGUUCUAAACUGUUAUGUUGCUCUUUCUUAGGUGGCAAGUCUAAAAAAAGCAAGCCCUGGGGAAACAAAAGAGGCCUUGGACAGAACAAAAAUUGAUGCAAUAAUGAAUGCAGUGAUCCAGAGAUCUCCUGGAACCACCAGGGGCCAACUAAGGGUCGCUAUUAAUCAAAAGGUCACUGAGCUGCGGACAUCCAAAAAGACU